rnacentral:lncRNA from 1 species
GCCAAGGCAAGAACAAAAGGGAAAAAGCAUAGAACAAACCCUAGAGAAGAAAAUCAAGAGAAAAUUCAUUGGAUUUCAAGGAAUUAAGCAAGUAAAGGUAAAAUUUCUUAAUUCUAGCUUGUGAUCUACCUUUCCUAUGCAUUCUUUUUCAAUUACCAUGGUUAAAAUUCAAGAUCUCAUGAAGGAUUCAUGGCUGACCGAAUUUAGGGAGAGAAGAUUUGAUGAUUUAUUUGGUUAGAUUUCAAGGUAUCUUAGUGUUUUUAGUUGUUUGGUGAUGUUUAGCAUGAAAAACAAGCAAAAAAUUUCAUGCCCUUCACCCACACUCCUUGGCUGAAAUUUUCAAGAGAGAAAUUGGAUAAUGGACUUUGAUGAAUUUCAUGCUAUUUAGGUGUUUUUAGUUGUUUUAUGAUGUAAGGUGUAAAAAUCAAGCAUGAAAAUUACAUGUUCUACACUAAACCUUCAAUGGCCGAAUUUUACAAGGAAGAUAUUGAUGAUGGAUUUUUGUGAUAUUACAUAUUAUUUAACUUGUAAUUGAUGACUUGGAGUGUUGGAAGUGGAAUCAAGUUAAUUGGAGUUGAAUUGGAUGUAUUGGCCAAUUAACCGGUGUAUAAAUCGAAUUAGCCCAAUACCAUUUUAUUUCGAUACAUAAUUGAAGCUACAUAGAACGCCAUAUUUAGAUAAUAAUCCAAACAUUUCGCAUCCAAUUUCAUGCAUUCAUAUAGAGCCUAAAUUAGUUUUAUAAUGAUUUAGUACAAAUAUAGUAAAUUGCUUGUUGUGCAUUAUGUUUAGGUGGUGAAACUUUCGAUAAGCAUAAGGAGAUUGUACCCGAAGACCGGGACUAGGAGUACUUUGACUCCCGAUAUGGUGAGUAACCUUAUUAUCGUCGUAAUUAUCUAAAGUAGUUUUUAUUCGUUUUUGUGAUUUUAUAGAAAAAUGAGUUUAAAUGGUAAAUCCUUAUGUUUUUUAAGUAAAAUGUGAUUAAAUUAAAUGAGUUUAGAAAUCAUUUUGAAAUUGAAUGAUGAUUUUAGAAAUUGAGUAAUUGGAGACUGUUUGUUUGUGUUGUAAAUUUAUGGUUUGAAUUGAAUGGUUUAUGGUGAUAUUGGCAUGAAUGGCUGAAUUGGAAAUUGUGUUAAAAUUGUAUGAACUGUUUGUUUUGCCUUAACAGGCUGGGUAGUAAUAUAAUUGUCAUGUCAUGCUGUCGAAACUUUUAUUGAUUUGGUGGGAUAUUGAUUAGUCACUGCAGUGGCGGGUUUUCAUGGACCAGCCUAUUAGAG